CCAAAUUCCGAUUGGCAUGAGUCUUUAAAAUCUUAACCUUCAAAAACUUUCUUCUUUUGAGAGAUUUCCAAAGACUGGGAAACUCAGCUAUCAAGUACCAUGUAGGCUUCUGGAAUUGAUGACAGCUGUGCAAAUUCCUCUUACUGAAGCAGGAGAGGGAGCCGGAAAAUCAAGCACCAGCCCUUAUCCUUUUCUUAUUGCUCACUCAGCUGCUGCCUAAAGCCCCAGCUACAACCUCAUUCUUUCAAGGCUGAGAACUGACAAAAAGACCAGCAGGACCCACGAUCACCUGAAGCAAACAAUGCCAUAGAUAUUGUUUGGGAACAACAGUCAGACACUCAGGGAAAACCUUUGCUUUGAUGA